ACUGAACGGACCCUGGGAGGAAAAGUCUUUUUUUGAAUUUCAGCAAUAUGUUUUAUUCAUUAACAAAUUCUUCCCAUAUUUGUAAACAUGGCUUAGUUCUGUACAGUUGCAUAUGAAGAAAAGAAAAAAUUACAUUGGAUUUUGACUCGAUCUAACAAACAAACGAAAGGCAAGCCUUACAUGAACCAGACUAUAUUUACACACACUUGCGACACCAGGAGAGUUCAAUAACUUAACAGACCCCCAUUUAACUCAAGCAAGAAGAUCUCAGACAGUUUUUUCCACUGCGCUUUGGUGGCAGCUGCGCCGGGCAUGAGUGUGUCCCCCAACAUGUCAUUCUUGACCUUGGAGUAUGCCAAUCUGCAACAUUCUUUCGAAGUCAACUCCUUGUUCUGGAAGAUCAACAAGUUCUGGAAAAACAAAAGAGUGUCUUUCACUGACUUGUUGGUUGUCCAGACGCAACACUUUGCCCAGUUUAACUUUCUUCUCUGAGUUUGUCCCGAGAUACAAAAUGGAGCAGUGUUGCGACAUCUCACCGAUUGUUCCGUCCUUAGACCGGAAGUGAAUUGUUUUCCUCCCGCCCUCCCCAAGAAAACAGACACAUGCAAAUCAUUACAAUCUCUGUGAUCCUGCAGUGGCUGGCUUAUAUCUCCCAGUUACGGUGUAGUCAAAGAUAGACGCUGCCUUUCCUUAUAUAGAAACAAAGGAGGUCUUCUGGAAGCUCUGACAAUGAUGUCACAUUCACAGCUGAACACUGAAUCCGACAACAGGGCGAGAGGAUUUGCAUUUUUGUGAGAGUUGUCCCACGCUGGGAGGGAAAAUGUUUGGUACACUUUCUCUGCAUCUCCUGUUAUUGCUGCUCCCAGCGACUUGUAGAAGCGCCCUCAUCUCCCAAUGGCCAGAGCGUUUGUCUCUACAAAAGGGAAACACAGUGGAGAUGCACUGUUACCAAAACUACACUAGCUAUACCCACAUGUACUGGUACCGCCAGCUCAAAGGAGCAGCCCCGCAGCUUGUUGCAACCUCAACUGGUACCUCAGAGCCCAAUUUCGAGGAUGAUUUCGAUAAAGGAUUCAAAGGCACCAGGCACAGUACUAAAUCGUGCAGCCUGAAAAUCCUGAAGCUCGAGGCAGCUGAUACUGCGGUUUAUUUCUGCGCUGCUAGUGACAAUGAAGCAUACUUCGGAACUGGGACAAAGCUGGUCGUUGUCGAGCACCUGGUUAGAUUUCCCAAUGUCAUGAUCCUCAAACCAUCACCAGCAGAGCUGCGAGAGAGACAGAAAGCGACCGUGGUGUGCCUCAUCACUGACUUCUACCCUGACAACAUUGAGAUCCGCUGGUAUGUCAACGGUGAGAUGAAGCUGGAGAAUGACCCGACAAUUCAGUCAGACCCUGAAUCCAUCAUACAGAAAGACGGUAAAUCCUACAGAGUCAGCAGUCGGAUAAGAUUCAGCGAAAAACAAUGGGCCAAUCUGAAGAAAGUUGAGUGCAGCGUUAAUCAUUAUUCAAAUGGAUCACAGCCUACUUUGUACACGUCAAAGCUUUACCUCAAUGCUGAAAUCUGCAGCAUGAGUAAAGAAGCUAAAUUCCAGAACAUGACAACAGCUAGAGUGACGUACCUUAUUGUAAUUUGCAAAAGCAUCCUGUAUGCGCUGUUCGUGUCAAUGAUUGUUUGGAAGUCCAAGAUCUCUCACAGCAAUAGGUUUGACUGAUCGCAUUGAAGAUGAUGGUGGAACACAUGAAACAGUAUGGAGGAAAGAAAUAUGCACUUUUUGAAUACUCAGAGCGAUUUGAUCUCAACUACUUCUGCUCUUCAAGCAUCUUGCUGACAAGCGAUCUUCAACAUCUUGGCCAUGCGAAAUAAUGGAAUAGAGUUAGAGUGUUAGCUAAUUUUUCAGAAGUCUAUAUCUUGAUAUGUCAUUAUGUUCUUACGAGAGAAGCAAGCUUCAGCUUUUAGGGUUGCAAAACAAUUACACAAUUAAUUCUCUGGUUGUCAAUUUGAGGGUGGGAUUAUUUGAGCCAUUACAUAUUAUUGUAAACAAUUACAAGGCAACAAGGCCCAUUUGAUCUCUCCUGCAAAAAACAUUCUCUGAGUGUCAGCCAUUGAGUUCAAAAAUUUGAAAAGCAAGAACAGAUUUUAUGCUCAAUCUUAUUUUUAACCUUCUCUGCCCUCCUCUGAUUCUGUUACAAUAACGGUGUCUAUAUCUUAAAGAAGUUGAAAGAUGAAAGUUAUUCAAAUGCUAUUUGAAGCUAUCUGUUUUUGUUCUCUCUAAUUUCUACUCACGCAGCAAUGUAUUAUGAGUUUUAGAAUGAUUUUCUUUGAUUAUGAAAGAAAAUCUGGGAUCAUAAUUCAUUGUGGUAUCGUCAAUGGAGCUGGCAUUGACAACGUGCUUGUGAAUUUUUGCAGUCUUCUUAUUGUUAACAAGAAAUAAAUAGA